rnacentral:lncRNA from 1 species
GUAGGCCAAGAUCAGUAUCCAAACCUCAGAACCACUCUUGUGUCCAUCUGAUACAAUUAAGAGGUCAUCCUCCACCUCACGAUUAGCCACCACACUCAGUGAAUCAGAAGUUGCAAUAGCUACCUUUUCUUCCUAUUUCCUCUUCCACUGUGGAUAGUCCCUCUUGAAAUGAUCGAACUCCUGGCACUUGAAGCAUUUUACUUCCUUCUUGCCCUUCCAAGACUUUGAUCGGCCCCUAGACUUGCUUCUAUUCCAUCCUCUACCUAAUCUCUCCCCUACAGCUAAGCCUUCUUGGGGAACACCUUUCUUGGUCAGCUUCUCCCUCUGCUCAU